UACGUCGGGCGCAAGCGUUGUCCGGAAUUAUUGGGCGUAAAGAGCUCGUAGGUGGCGUGUCGCGUCUGCCGUGAAAGCCCAUGGCUUAACUGUGGGUCUGCGGUGGAUACGGGCAGGCUGGAGGCUGGUAGGGGCAAGCGGAAUUCCUGGUGUAGCGGUGAAAUGCGCAGAUAUCAGGAGGAACACCGGUGGCGAAGGCGGCUUGCUGGGCCAGUUCUGACGCUGAGGAGCGAAAGCGUGGGGAGCGAACAGG
rnacentral:rRNA from 1 species